rnacentral:rRNA from 1 species
CCUACGGGAGGCAGCAGUGGGGAAUAUUGGACAAUGGGCGAAAGCCUGAUCCAGCAAUGCCGCGUGAGUGAUGAAGGCCUUAGGGUUGUAAAGCUCUUUUACCAGGGAUGAUAAUGACAGUACCUGGAGAAUAAGCUCCGGCUAACUCCGUGCCAGCAGCCGCGGUAAUACGGAGGGAGCUAGCGUUGUUCGGAAUUACUGGGCGUAAAGCGUACGUAGGCGGUUAUUCAAGUCAGAGGUGAAAGCCUGGAGCUCAACUCCAGAACUGCCUUUGAAACUAGAUAGCUAGAAUCUUGGAGAGGUGAGUGGAAUUCCGAGUGUAGAGGUGAAAUUCGUAGAUAUUCGGAAGAACACCAGUGGCGAAGGCGACUCACUGGACAAGUAUUGACGCUGAGGUACGAAAGCGUGGGGAGCAAACAGGAUUAGAUACCCUGGUAGUCCACGCCGUAAACGAUGAUAACUAGCUGUUCGGGCUCUACGAGCUUGAGUGGCGCNGCUACGACAUUAAGUUAUCCGUCCGUCGGGAGGUACGGUCGCGAGAAUUAAAACUUAAAUAGUAAGUUAGUACGGCGUGAGACGUGCCGACGGACGACGACGAGGGAGGUUAGG